rnacentral:rRNA from 1 species
UACGGGGGGAGCAAGCGUUGUUCGGAUUUACUGGGCGUAAAGGGCGCGUAGGCGGCACCGCAAGUCGACUGUGAAAUCUCCGGGCUUAACCCGGAAAGGUCAGCCGAUACUGCGGGGCUAGAGUGCAGAAGGGGCGACUGGAAUUCUCGGUGUAGCGGUGAAAUGCGUAGAUAUCGAGAGGAACACCUGCGGCGAAGGCGGGUUGCUGGGCUGACACUGACGCUGAUGCGCGAAAGCUAGGGGAGCGAACGGG